CGGCUCUUUUCGCUCGGUUCAGGUCGUUCCUCCUGCUAUUGUUUUGUUAUUUCUCCUAAUACAGUUUUGAGUAUGGCUUUCUUCGGACUCACAUAUUUGGGCUAUCAGAACCCUUUUGGGGACAGGAUGGUAACAUCUAGGCACAACAAUCUUACACGAGACUCAUCAGACCUGCAUCUCGGCAGUCAGAGCAGAUAUCAGGACUUGAGCAGACGCGUUCAGAGGUCUCCUAAAGAGCUGUAUCGUGUACCUGUGACGGACAACCAGCAGUACGGCUGGUGGGUUUCCACCGAUGGCCUGAAGAACCAGGAGCCUUGGACUCAAACCCGUCGCUUCCCACGCAAAAACAGCGAAAUGACCAAGUAUGAAGGAUCUUAAGCUAUGUAGGCCAAUGUGUGUCAACAGACAAUUAAUGGAUAAUGCUUUAAUAAUAAUAAUGCAUAUUUCACUGAUUUUCUCAGGUUUGUGAAUGAGAUGUCAAUGACUUGCCCAGACUUCAGCUUGUUUUGAUUCCUGGUCCUUGGAACUGUAAGACAGUAUGUUCACAUGGUGAUCACAGUGCACUAAUACUGCAACACUGCAGUGUGUCACUUUGCUCUGCAGAACAGGAGGUGCAGAGGACACACAACUCACACUAAUGCCAGUGUUACCUAUCCACUGCACAGCUAUGGCUGUGCCAUAUUGUUUAUAGAAUUUAGUGCAAUAAAUUUAGUCCCAAUCUGAAUGUGCUAAAUGUU
ensembl:lncRNA